CGGGGGGAAAGAUUUAUCGCCGAAAGAUCGGCCCGCGUCAGAUUAGCUUGUAGGUGAGGUAAUGGCUCACCAAGGCGACGAUCUGUAGCUGGUCUGAGAGGAUGAUCAGCCACACUGGGACUGAGACACGGCCCAG
rnacentral:rRNA from 1 species